GACAGAGGGUGCAAACGUUGUUCGGAAUUACUGGGCGUAAAGCGUGUGUAGGCGGUCUGCUAGGUCGGGUGUGAAAGUCCAGGGCUCAACCCUGGAAGGCCGGUGGAAACUGUCGGGCUAGAGUCCGGAAGAGGCGAGUGGAAUUCUCGGUGUAGCGGUGAAAUGCGCAGAUAUCGGGAGGAACACCAAUGGCGAAGGCAGCUCGCUGGGACGGUACUGACGCUGAGACGCGAAAGCGUGGGGAGCAAACAGG
rnacentral:rRNA from 1 species